UGCGGAGUCGGCGGGCUCCGGCUUUCGCUCCCGCCGAGAGCUAGCUUUUGCAAACUAAGUUCCUUCCACCUUAUGCAACCAAACUGCCCACUUCUCUAAGCCGUACGACACUUAGGGCGCAUCUCGGCGGUUUUCCUUCCCGCUCCCGCUUGGGGCCCCAGAAGAGGGGUUUGGGAGGCCUGGCCGCGCUGCUCUGCUCCGUUGCGGGCGGGAGGAGCACGCCAGUCGAGGCAAAGGCUGCAGCGACCGAGGCCAAGCCUGACGUUCGAGUGGGAUAAGAGCGGGGAGGCCAGCUUGGCACAGCUGGACGUGCAUCCUUCCAAGCUGCCACUCCGAGGGAAGCCUUUCGUGCGCCUCACCUGGAUGGCGGUCCGCUUGAGGGGAAAAAGAGAUUUUUGAAAAGUUUGGAGACUGGACAUGGUGGUACAGAGGCUGAGGGAGGAGGACCACUGAAGUCUGAGGACAGCCUAGCUCUGAGGUGAGCCUGAACUGCAUAGCAAAACCCUACCUCAAAAAGACCCCCAACACCCAAACAAAAACAAAAUCCUACUAUAAAAAAAGGAUUGGGAGUCAGGUAUCAUGGCACAUGCCUGUAUUCUCAGAAUUUGGGAGCUGAGGCAGGAGAGUUGGUAUAAAUUCAAGUACACAGUGAGAUCUUGUCUGAAAAAAUGAAAAAGAAGCUGGGCAUGGUGGCUGUAAUCCCAGCACCUGGAAGGCGAAGGCAAGAGGCUGUAGCAAAUUUGACACAGUCUGAGCUACAAAGUGAGCUCAAUGCCAGUCUGUAUUGCAUAGUGAGGCCCUAUCUCAAAAUUUAAAAAAAUAAAAAUAAGUAAAUAAAGACUACAGACAUAGUUCAGGACAAAAGGACAAAAGCCCUCCAUUGAACCCCCAGUACACCCCCCUCAUGGCCCUUGAAGGGUGCCUGGAACAAGCUCUGACAUCAGGUGGCUAUCAUACUGACCCUGCCAGCACUUCUCAGACCUUCGGUGUCUUCAGACCAACCAUAAACUCCUAAAGGACAGAGACUGCUUUGUCCUGACGCACUUGGGACACCUUGUACACAGGAAAUACUCAGUUGCUUCAUCUUGUGAUCCCAGGGGGUAAGGUUGGGUGUGUAGGCAGACAAGGGGGAAAUUAACUUUGGAGCAGAACCAGAACCUGGCUGUGUAUCAGUCUGUCUGGCCCACAGAGCCUUUGCAUGAGAACUCCUGCCAAACCUAUACCCUAAGUGAGUAAUGAAGUUCUCCUAUAGCAGGGCUGGUACAAGCACUGCAGUGGGCAAUUUAUAUCACUGAAAGCUCUAAAAGGUUUGCCAUACCUCAACAACCCUUGCCGUAUUUUAUCCUGUAUUAUAUUCAUGGAGUUAUCCCAAUUAGCCUUAGCUGUCUGCAUCCUUCAAAGAAUGACCCACAUGCUGGGCAUGGUGGCAUAUUUUUGUAAUCCCAGAACUUGAGGCUGAGGUAGGAGGAUUCCUGUGAGUUCAAGACUAGCCUGAACUGCAUGUGAGACCCUGUCUCAAAAAUGAAAACAAAAACAAAAGCAAAGAAUGACCUACAAAGAAUGUACAAGCACUGUGUUAUUUCACUUGAUCCUCACGAUGGAGCUGUAAGGGAAGUGCUACCUAUCUGUUGAAAGUUUAGAUAAAUGGUUUGCUAAGUCUCUUUAACAAUAAAGUCUACUGUAUGAAUGAAGAUGACAAAGAAGAAUUCUAGACUCUUCUUCCUAUACAUUUCUGAGUAGUCCUAGUUAAAACAACAGAUGUGAGACAGAUGUGGUGGUGCACACACCUGUAAUCCUAGCACUCGGGAGGCUGAGGCAGGAGGAUCACUGCAAGUUGAGAUCAGCCUGGACUACAAAGUGAGUUCAGAGCCAGCCUGAACUGCAUAGCGAGACCCUGUCUCAAAAAGACCCCCCCCACACACACACACAAAAGACUACAGGCAUGAACAGUUGCUCCACAGUUCUCCAUUUUGCCGAAAGAGCUUCUUCAUGGCCUUGGUCAGAAUGAUGUCUGGGUACUAUGGAUAAGUCUGUUGGGGCUACGGAGUUGCCCAAGACAUGGUCUCAGCAAUCUAGCCGUAAUUAGGACACUGCCACCUGUACAAAAGUAACAUAACCCAAGAUAGAAUGCAGAAGUCAUAAGGAGGCAAGAGGAAGAGCCAAGCAAACUCAGAAGAGAAAGCAGUUGUAGUUGGUGAAAGACAAGGAGCAGUGAAAUCUCACAGACAGGCAGAAUUUGAGCUGCCCUUUAGCCAAUGGGGUGUAUGGAGGGAGGAAGAUAUUCUGACAGGGAAAACAAAAGGCAAAGUCAUGCAAAAGGGAAAAGCUUGCUUAGGCCAGAGGAGCUCUGCUUGGAGCACUGAGGCGUGAGGAAUCGUUACCCCUCUAAGGCUGAAUCUUACCCUACAAAUGGAGAUGACAGUACCCACACCUCACUGGACUGAGGAAGAAUGACAGUGCCAGGCGAGGGCCAGAAACCAGAGGAUGACAGAGCUGGGAAAGCUCCUAAAACUGUCUGUUUCCAGCCUCCUCAUUUUAUAGAUAAGGACAAUGAUGCAGACCCAAGAAGAGAUUUGGUCCAGGUCACAUAGCUGACCUGAGUACUUCUGGUUUCUCUGUGGUGACUUGAGAGGGAAUCGGAAAUACACCCCUCUCCACAUGGUCUGGAUCUACUCUCCCAAGCUCGGAAGUGCUUCAGCUCCUUCUCAGGAACUCACCAUCAGAAAACUCAAGCUAACAGAAGUCCUAAAGGUCAAUGUAUCUCCCUAUGUUUAUUCUAUAUAAUGACCUAUCAAGUGGGUUUGGUUUUUUUUUUGUCUUUUUUGAGACAGAGUUUCACUUUGAUCCUCCUGCUUCAGUCUCCCAAAGUGCCGAUUACAGGUGUGUACCACAAUGCCUGACUACAAAAUGAUACUCUUAACAGUGAUCUAGAACAUUUUCUAUCCCAUUCCAGGAAACAGCACAACCACCUAUCUAACUGCUCAAGCUGAAACUUGGUUCCGAAUAAUGUCAAUGUUUGUAUGUAUUUUCUCUAUCCUACUUUAUCCUGCUUUACCUAUAAAAUUUCAUUCGGGGUAGGGGGGCUUUUUGAGAUAGGUCUUGCUGGCUCUGUAAUUCAGGUUAGCCAGGCUGUCCUUAAAUUCAUAGCAAUCCUCCUGACCCACCCUCCUGAGUGUUGGGAUCACAAGUAUGCAUCACUACACGUGGGGGCUAACAGUUUCAAAACUACAUUAUCAACAGACCACUAACAAUAGGCUGACAUUUAAAUUUGCUAUUAUUUAUUUAUUUAUUUUGGUACUAGGGAUUAAACUCAGGACCUUGUACUUGCCAGUCAGGUGCUUAUACCACUGAGCUAUAUCCUUGGCCUAUUAUAUUUUUAUUUGUAUUACCCUUUGAACAGAUUUCACUAAAAAUGUGCAACCUAAGAAUUAUGUUUAAGAAACCUGAACUGAUUUCUUACAUUUUCUGGGGGGUUAUGUUAUUAUCUUGAUAUAAUUAGUUCCAUUUGCCUUUAUUUUAACAUUUAAUUUAUCUUUACCUUUGGCCUUACCCUGACCAAUCACCACCACCCUAUCGCGAGGCACAUCCUUUCUCACUUUGGCUAUGGCAAGAGUUUUGUCUCUUGGCUCUGCCUGAUUGUUUUGUUUUGUACUGGGGAUUAAAGGACCUCAGGCAAUUUAGGCCAAGUGAUCUACCACUGAGUUAUAUCUCCAGUGCUUUUUAAAAUUUUUUUAAAGAUCACUAAAUUGCUUGGGUUGGCUUCAAACUUGCAAUCUUUUGCCUCAGUCUUCUGAACAACUGGGUUUAUAGUUGUGUACCACAAUGCCUGGUUCUCAAGUGAUUUUUACCAAAUGCCAAUCAGAUCCAGCCAUUCCCGACUUAGUUUUUUAAAUUCUGUUACCAUGACCUACGAGCUUUGCAUGAAUUAAGAAGCCUGUUCUCUUCAGACUCACCUCUGUCUUUCCCUUCAGGCAUGCUAGGAUUUUGUCUUUCAAAAUCCAAACUUUAUAAUCUCAACAUCCUUGCCCUCUUUCAUUACCUUCUAGCACAUCAAUCUGUGUAUUUCAUUGCCUUAUUAUAAAUAAGAAUUUUUUUGGUCUUUUUUACACAAGGUUUUGAUAAUGCAGUUCAGGCUGGCCUUGAGCUCACUUUGUAGCCCAGAAUAUUCUUGAACUUGCAAUGAUCCUCCUGCCUCAGCCUCCGGGAGGGCUGGGAUUACAGGUGUGCACCACCACACCGUUUAUCUUAUAUAUUUUUUGUUUACUAUCUACUCAACCAAAAAUAUAAGCUCCAUGAAAGCAGUGAUCUUGUCUGACUGGCUAGCAGCUCACCCUCCUGUGCCUAACAGUGUGCCUGAGUCAUAUACUAGGGACUCAAUAAACAUUUAUGGAAUGGAUGAAACCUGAGGUGACUCCAUUGACAACUAUGUGCAAAAUGAGGAACCUGAAAUUACUAUAAGACUUUUGGGCAGGCAAAUUAUUUAUCCAUAUACAUAUACAUACACAGCUAUAUGUAAAAGCCCACGCCCAGGUCCUCAGGGUUUCAGGCAGAGCCAGUGUGCCCUUACUUUACACACACAGUUCUAGCAUGCUUGAUUAAUUGGCUAUUGCGGAUUUGAAGUAGUAAACAGGAAGAGAAGGCAGGAUGCCACUAGUCAUUGAUAACAGGAAGAAAUGAAAGAGGGAAGACACAGAAAAAUAUAUAGGAAAGCCAGGUGUGAUGGCAAAUAUCUAUAAUCCAAGCAUUCUGGGAUUAAGAGGAUCACAAGUUAGAGCACUGCUUGGGCAAGUUAGCUAGACCCUGCCUUUAAAACAUUAAUUAAUUAAAAGGGCAGGGGAACACAGCUCAGUGUGAAGUCCUCUGUGUUUAAAAAGAAAAAAAAGAAAAAAAAACUAAAUACAUCCUAAAGCCAGGUAUUUUGGGACCAUUUAACUUGGAGUAAACAGUCCAAGGUCAUGGCUAUACACAGCAAUGUUGAAAGAUGGUAGGUCCCAUUAUCAUUACCACCAUUAGGAAGUGAUUAUUCUAAUCAUGAUGAUUAUUAACAAGUACCUGGUAUAGAGUAGGUGUUGAUAAAUUAUGUACAAGAUACAUUUCAGAGAGUUUUCUGAAGUUUGAGUUCUUAGGGGUAGCUUUGAUCAUGUGGAAAACUGAUGUUCAUUCCCAACAGUGGAUAACUGAAGCUUUGCUAUUUUUCUUUUCACUUGUUCUAAUCUCAUUAUUUCAGUUUCCUCAUAUUCUAACCUAAGACCAAGAAGACAGAGAAGCCCUAACUUACAAAAUUUUUUCUUCAUGGCCAUUAUCUCUUUAAACUGAAGCAAAAAUAAAAGUGAAAUAAGAAAUAGCAAUGGGGAAUGAUGGUGCACACCUACAAUCCUGCCAUUCUGGGAGGAGGAGGCAGAAAGGCUACAUGGCCUUAGCAAUCUAAGUAACUUAGUGAGACCCUGUCUCAAAAUAAAAAGGGCAUGGGGCUGGGGAUUUAGCUCAGCAGCAUAAGUACCUCCCUUGCAAGCAGGCGGUCAUGAGUUCGUUCCCCGGUACCGAUAAAAAAAAAAAAAAAAAAACACCAAAAAAUAAAAA